rnacentral:rRNA from 1 species
UACAGAGGUCCCAAGCGUUGUUCGGAUUUACUGGGCGUAAAGGGUGCGUAGGUGGCGAGGUAAGUUCGAUGUGAAAUCUCCGAGCUCAACUCGGAAAUGGCAUUGAAUACUAUCCCGCUUGAGGGUCGGAGGGGAGACUGGAAUUCUCGGUGUAGCAGUGAAAUGCGUAGAUAUCGAGAGGAACACCAGUGGCGAAGGCGAGUCUCUGGACGACUCCUGACACUGAGGCACGGAAAGCUGGGGGAGCAAACAGG